CCAUAAUAGAAGGAAACAAGAGAGUUAAUUGAGUGUAAUCCAGCAGAUGUGAUGACGUUAGUGAGACUGUAGUGAAGUAUCCACCAGCAAAGAGAAGUCCAGUGUCUUGAGGAGCAAGAAGUGACAAUCAGGAUUUCCAGAAAGAACACCAUGGACUUGGCCUCUUAAGAUUCAUUUCAGGCUUUCUGACCUCCAGAACUGAAGGUUUAAUGCUGUG